GGAUCGCUGAACUGACUUGUUCUUUUGCAAAUGCCGGGUUGCUGCGUGCCGCAGUGUUCGAAUCACUCGAAGAAUGGGUGGAAGGUGUACGGCGUCCCAACAAACGCCAAACGGAGGCUUCUGGCGCUCGUACAGAUAAAGCGCGACGACUGGGAGCCGAGCCGUUUGUCGUCUGCGUGCGGCAUUAAGGCUUCUUCGACUUGGUGCUGCAAUGAAGCGCCGCAAAUAACUUCCGCUGGUCAUGGUCGAGGAGCGGCAU